AACGUAGGAGACAAACGUUAUCCGGAAUUAUUGGGCGUAAAGGGCGCGUAGGCGGCCUGGCAAGUGGAAGGUGAGAUCCCUCGGCUUAACCGAGGAACUGCCCUCCAAACUGCUUGGCUUGAGUCCGGGAGAGGUGAGUGGAAUUCCCAGUGUAGCGGUGAAAUGCGUAGAUAUGCGGAGGAACACCGAUGGCGAAGGCAAUCCCCUGGGCCUGCACUGACGCUCAUGCACGAAAGCGUGGGGAGCAAACAGG
rnacentral:rRNA from 1 species